UAAGGAAUAUUGGUCAAUGGACGCAAGUCUGAACCAGCCAUGCCGCGUGAAGGAUGAAGGUCCUCUGGAUUGUAAACUUCUUUUGUCUGGGACGAAAACGGGAUUUUUAUCUCAAUUGACGGUACCAGAGGAAUAAGCACCGGCUAACUCCGUGCCAGCAGCCGCGGUAAUACGGAGGGUGCGAGCGUUAUCCGGAUUUACUGGGUUUAAAGGGUGCGUAGGUGGGCUUAUAAGUCAGUGGUGAAAUCUCCGAGCUUAACUUGGAAACUGCCGUUGAUACUAUAGGUCUUGAAUUAUCUGGAGGUAAGCGGAAUAUGUCAUGUAGCGGUGAAAUGCUUAGAUAUGACAUAGAACACCAAUUGCGAAGGCAGCUUACUACAUAUAAAUUGACGCUGAGGCACGAAAGCGUGGGGAUCAAACA
rnacentral:rRNA from 1 species